CCCAGCAUCUCAAUGUGCACACAUAAUGUCAAUACCACCAAGCCUUAUGAAAUCAUGGCAAGGACAGCCAAACUGCCCAAAAGAUUUUGGAAAGUGGCUUGGGAUCUUUGGGACUCCCAGUGUAUCCCAUUUCAAGAUAGCUACUCACUGGUACAUGAGAUACAGCCAACAUAAUGUCAAACAUCGCACUAUAUACUGGCCGAGUCCGGCAGCUGCACCCAUUCAACCACUGUGUCUAUUGGAUUAGUGGGGUUGGAAUACUGUCAUGAAUAUGGUCAUGAAUGUGAGUUGCCAACUAUAAAUGAGCUAUUCUUGACUGGGCGAACUGGUAUGACCAAAUUAAUUCCUAUGAGACGGGUCCUGACUGACG